rnacentral:lncRNA from 1 species
CCAGCGAUAUGCAAGCAUGCACAGGUCUCUUCAAAAUCCCAUAGGUGAUAGUAUGGGUUUUUGUUUCCUUCUUUAGAGAAGGAUUUAUCCCCAAUCAUUUUUAUAAGACAUGUGCUUAGCUCAUAGCUAGGUGCUAGGAUAGGCUUUGAAGACUGCGGAUAGCCAAAGUUCAUGCUCAUGCCAUAUAGAUAGAUAAGAGCAGAAUGCAUAAUAAAAGAUAAAACAAAAAAGAAUAAAAGAUAAAAUGAUAAGCUAGGCUCG